rnacentral:sRNA from 1 species
AAAUUUGUAAGGUUUGGUGUGUUCAUUUGAGUGGGUGCCAGACGUAAUGGGCCCGGGAUUGAAUUAGUUUAGAUCAAAAUUUGAUGUAAUUAUCGCAGAGAAACGCUUUCUUACGAGUGUUUAUCUCGAGCCUGCUGUGUUCAGCAUCUUUCUUGGUGUUUUGGGAGAAGCAGACAGGAGUUAAGUCCAAGUCCCCGCCCUCACAGAGCUCAGGUGGCUUGGGGGAAGCAGCAAGUUGUCAAAUUCCCUAGUUGAAUUUGCUUUGGACAUCAGUGUGAAGCAGAACUGAUAUGCCACUUGAAUUAAU